GAGUUAUCUGACCCUUCGGGUGACGAUAACGGCGUCGAGCGGCGGACGGGUGAGUAAUGCCUGGGAAAUUGCCCUGAUGUGGGGGAUAACCAUUGGAAACGAUGGCUAAUACCGCAUAAUAGCUUCGGCUCAAAGAGGGGGACCUUCGGGCCUCUCGCGUCAGGAUAUGCCCAGGUGGGAUUAGCUAGUUGGUGAGGUAAGGGCUCACCAAGGCGACGAUCCCUAGCUGGUCUGAGAGGAUGAUCAGCCACACUGGAACUGAGACACGGUCCAGACUCCUACGGGAGGCAGCAGUGGGGAAUAUUGCACAAUGGGCGCAAGCCUGAUGCAGCCAUGCCGCGUGUAUGAAGAAGGCCUUCGGGUUGUAAAGUACUUUCAGCAGUGAGGAAGGUAGUAGUGUUAAUAGCACUAUUAUUUGACGUUAGCUGCAGAAGAAGCACCGGCUAACUCCGUGCCAGCAGCCGCGGUAAUACGGAGGGUGCGAGCGUUAAUCGGAAUUACUGGGCGUAAAGCGCAUGCAGGUGGAUGAUUAAGUCAGAUGUGAAAGCCCGGGGCUCNACCUCGGAAUAGCAUUUGAAACUGGUUAUCNAGAGUA
rnacentral:rRNA from 1 species